AACGAACGCUGGCGGCAGGCCUAACACAUGCAAGUCGAGCGAAGCCUUCGGGCUUAGCGGCGGACGGGUGAGUAACGCGUGGGAACGUGCCCUUUGGUACGGAAUAGCCCCGGGAAACUGGGAGUAAUACCGUAUGUGGUCGAGAGACGAAAGAUUUAUCGCCAAAGGAUCGGCCCGCGUUGGAUUAGGUAGUUGGUGGGGUAAUGGCCUACCAAGCCGACGAUCCAUAGCUGGUUUGAGAGGAUGAUCAGCCACACUGGGACUGCGACGCGGCCCAGACUCCUACGGGAGGCAGCAGUGGGGAAUCUUAGACAAUGGGGGAAACCCUGAUCUAGCCAUGCCGCGUGAUCGAUGAAGGCCUUAGGGUUGUAAAGAUCUUUCAGGUGGGAAGAUAAUGACUGUACCACCAGAAGAAGCCCCGGCUAACUCCGUGCCAGCCGCCGCAGUAAGAC
rnacentral:rRNA from 1 species